CUAAGAACGAACGCUGGGCGGCAUGCCUAACACAUGCAAGUCGAACGAGACCUUCGGGUCUAGUGGCGCACGGGUGCGUAACGCGUGGGAAUACUGCCCCCUUUCGGGUUCGGAAUAACAGCGAGAAAUUGCUGCUAAUACCGGAUAAUGACGUAAGUCCAAAGAUUUAUCGCCAAGGGAUGAGCCCGCGUAGGAUUAGCUAGUUGGUGUGGUAAAGGCGCACCAAGGCGACGAUCCUUAGCUGGUCUGAGAGGAUGAUCAGCCACACUGGGACUGAGACACGGCCCAGACUCCUACGGGAGGCAGCAGUGGGGAAUAUUGGACAAUGGGCGAAAGCCUGAUCCAGCAAUGCCGCGUGAGUGAUGAAGGCCUUAGGGUUGUAAAGCUCUUUUACCCGGGAUGAUAAUGACAGUACCGGGAGAAUAAGCUCCGGCUAACUCCGUG
rnacentral:rRNA from 1 species